CCUACGGGAGGCAGCAGUGAGGAAUAUUGGACAAUGGAGGCAACUCUGAUCCAGCCAUGCCGCGUGCAGGAAGACUGCCCUAUGGGUUGUAAACUGCUUUUAUACAGGAAGAAACCUACUUACGUGUAAGUAGCUGACGGUACUGUAAGAAUAAGGAUCGGCUAACUCCGUGCCAGCAGCCGCGGUAAU
rnacentral:rRNA from 2 species